CCUACGGGGGGCAGUAGUAGGGAAUUUUAGUUAAUGGGUGUAAGCCUGAACGAGCGAUGCCGCGUGAGUGAAGAAGGCCUUCGGGUCGUAAAGCUCUGUUGCGGGGGAAAAAAGGCAGCAUCAGGAAAUGGGUGCUGACUGAUGGUGCCCCGCCAGAAAGUCACGGCUAACUACGUGCCAGCAGCCGCGGUAAUACGUAGGUGGCGAGCGUUAUCCGGAAUGAUUGGGCGUAAAGGGCGCGCAGGCGGUCC
rnacentral:rRNA from 1 species